GACGAACGCUGGCGGCGUGCUUAACACAUGCAAGUCGAACGGAAAGGCCUAGCUUGCUGGGUACUCGAGUGGCGAACGGGUGAGUAACACGUGGGUGAUCUUCCCCUGACUUUGGGAUAAGCCUGGGAAACUGGGUCUAAUACCGGAUAUUCAUUUUUCCUCGCAUGGGGAUUUGUGGAAAGCUUUUGCGGUUGGGGAUGGGCCCGCGGCCUAUCAGCUUGUUGGUGGGGUAAUGGCCUACCAAGGCGACGACGGGUAGCCGACCUGAGAGGGUGAUCGGCCACACUGGGACUGAGACACGGCCCAGACUCCUACGGGAGGCAGCAGUGGGGAAUAUUGCACAAUGGGCGCAAGCCUGAUGCAGCGACGCCGCGUGAGGGAUGACGGCCUUCGGGUUGUAAACCUCUUUCAGCUCCGACGAAGCGCAAGUGACGGUAGGAGCAGAAGAAGCACCGGCCAACUACGUG
rnacentral:rRNA from 1 species